AUGUUUUGGCCAUGCAUUGUUAAGUGCCCAAAAAUUCAUCUUUUAAUGGUGAAAAAUCAAAUUUGUGAAGGAACCCCAAUUUCUUCCAUACAAAUGUGCCUCCAAUUAUGUUAUUCAAAUACUAGACAUUAUUUAGUGAUUUUACAAUAUUUUUACCAAAUUUUUCAGAGAUGUUUUCUUGGGUUAAAAAUUAAUUUAGAGUUCAAUUGUAGCUGUUUUGUUUUGACGAUUGUGUGAAAACCAUAAAAUCUUUUGAGUUGAUUCUUAUUGCAUUGGAUUCUUGGUGAUUUUAUCUUUCCAACGAGUAUUUUUGUAGAAUUUUUGUAGAAUUCCACGGGAGCUCCUCCGCCGCCCGUUCUGACCGCUCCUCUAGUGUGCCACCCUCCUCAUCGCUGGCCCCUUCUGGUGAGCCUCCUAGCCCCGUGCGCCGCCCCUCUCCCUCCCCAAGCCGCCCCUUCUCUUUCCCCCACCUUCGGCCCCAAGUCCAUGGCCGGCCGUGCCUGUUCCCGUGCGUGCGUGCCUGUGUUGUGUACUGUUGGUGCGUGGAGGGCUUCUUUGGAGAAGAAGAAGGAAGUGUAGGGGGUUAUGGGGAAGUUUCAGGGACGUUUGCGCAAUUAAACUGUAGACCCAGGGGGUAGAUCGUAAGAUCGUCUCAGGUUUGUUUAUUUUCUAGAUCUAAAAAGGCUGAAACUUUAAAAAUUUAUAGUAAAUUGUAGAAAAAUCUUAAAAUAGAAAAUGAAGAUGUUUUGUAAUCCUUGUGAGAAGAAUUACACAGUAGAUUCAUAAUAUGAUAUGUUUUAGUAGAAAGUUUCUGAUAUUUUUAUUUAUUCUUUCAAAGUGCUUUUAGAAAUCCUUUUAAGUUGUUAGAUGCACAUCUUGAGUUAU
rnacentral:lncRNA from 1 species